rnacentral:rRNA from 2 species
UGCAGUCGACGAACUCUGGUAUUGAUUGGUGCUUGCAUCAUGAUUUACAUUUGAGUGAGUGGCGAACUGGUGAGUAACACGUGGGAAACCUGCCCAGAAGCGGGGGAUAACACCUGGAAACAGAUGCUAAUACCGCAUAACAACUUGGACCGCAUGGUCCGAGUUUGAAAGAUGGCUUCGGCUAUCACUUUUGGAUGGUCCCGCGGCGUAUUAGCUAGAUGGUGGGGUAACGGCUCACCAUGGCAAUGAUACGUAGCCGACCUGAGAGGGUAAUCGGCCACAUUGGGACUGAGACACGGCCCAAACUCCUACGGGAGGCAGCAGUAGGGAAUCUUCCACAAUGGACGAAAGUCUGAUGGAGCAACGCCGCGUGAGUGAAGAAGGGUUUCGGCUCGUAAAACUCUGUUGUUAAAGAAGAACAUAUCUGAGAGUAACUGUUCAGGUAUUGACGGUAUUUAACCAGAAAGCCACGGCUAACUACGUGCCAGCAGCCGGCGGU